rnacentral:rRNA from 1 species
UGUUCAGGGGUAAACCUGUGGUUCCCGAAAGUUCGAACGGGGAGAUUCAAUUGCCUCGCCGGUUAUGACCAUUUAACAGUGAUAUGUUUAUAUAUAUAUUAGAGACAUUAUAUGGCGGUUGCGGGUUUAUUCUCGUAACUGUUUCUGUGUAGUGCUCCACUGUUUUAUGAUAUAUAGUUUAUAGCCGGAGGCGUGCACUUCUCCCCUUGUAGGACGUCGUGACCCAUUGGAUUAUGUUGUCUAAGGCUUAUAAUGGAGACCGUGACAUUAGGGCCGAAAGGCCUCAAUGAUCCGGACUUAUAAUGUCCCGACAUCUAUCCGAUGGUAUAAUUAUGAUGAUAGAUCGCUAUAAAUGCGUAUGAGCGUUCAGAUCCGUAACAAAUUCUUUAUAUGAUAAUAAAUAGUGGAAAUCGGAUUUAAUGCCGAUUCUACACAUAUGGUAUUGAUAGUUAUGGUAUUCUCGAACCGUUCUUUAUCAUCAGUCAACGGCGUUUAUGUUUUGGGUAAUUACAGGACCCGUCUUGAAACACGGACCAAGGAGUCUAGCAUGUGCGCAAGUCAUUGGGACUUUGUGAAACCUAAAGGCGUAAUGAAAGUGAAAUAUUUGUGAAUUUUCGUAAUUCACUGAAUUUAAGGGAAGAUGGGUAACGAUUUUUAUGUUACCUCGCAUUCCCGGGGCGUCGCGUACUUAUUGCAAGUUGCGGCGCACCAAGAGCGUACACGCUGGGACCCGAAAGAUGGUGAACUAUGCCUGGUCAGGAUGAAGUCAGGGGAAACCCUGAUGGAGGUCCGUAGCGAUUCUGACGUGCAAAUCGAUCGUAUGAACUGGGNAUAGGGGCGAAAG